CUUGUUCAAUUUGUAUUGAUACAGCAACGGUCAAAAUAUCUCUCUCUAUUACUUUAACUUUUAUUUUUGAUUUCAGUGUUUUACAACUUUUUUUUAUUGAGUUAUACAAGAGUGAUGUUUUAAGGUUUGUCGUACGUAAAAGUUCAUAAACUAUUCCAUGACAAUAUAUAAACUAUCAGAUUAUAUAUUUACUGAAAUUUUAUCUUUGAUAAAAAUUUUCAUAUUACAAAUUAGUCUUAUGUCUGAUUAAUCAGAGAUAUGAUACAUACUACGUUUACAUGUCACCCUUAAUCAGUUUUAUAACUACCAAUGUUAUUAAACCCAGUCACUGGUAACGUAGUCACAGUUGCUAUAAUUCAUUGAACUUUUGUACGUUACAAAUCUUGAAACAUCAAUCUUAUAUAUCUCAAUGAGAAAAAGUCAUAAAACGAUAUUUAAAAAUAAAUUUUCAAGAAAAAGACUAGUAUACAAUAUCAUUGGCAAAAAUAUUCAAAAAAUUAUAUUUGUUUAUAAUAAAUUCUUGAAAUAACUAUUUUUGGACAUUAUGAUCUCCAAUAUCUCCAAAAUCUGACUAGAUAAAAAAGUUUUAUAGUUUUAUUCGGAUAUAGUAUACAAAAUUCAUAGGAAACAAAUUUGUAUACUAAAUUUGUAUACUAAAUUCCUACUUCUAAAAUUUGAACUUUACAGGUGUUAUUUAUAUAUUGUUUAAAUUAUUUUUAUACGAAUAUUUUUUAUGUAAACAAUAGAAACAGUUAUUAUAAAUUAUUAUAAAUUAAAACACAAUACAGCAAAAAGCAAUUAGGUUAUAAGAUUGUACACUACAAAAUUAAAGGGUCACUUAUUCUCAGAAAA